UACAGGGAAGCACUUCUCAGAAGUGGCUACAAAGAAUAAAAAGCAUGUAUGUAGGGCUCACAUCUAGAUCACAAACACACAAUAGAAGCAAUAGGGAAAGAAACAUCACACGGUCCACACUUCCUUACAAUGUCAACAUAACAAAAAAUUUUUAGGUCUUUAUUAAAAAGCACUUUCCUUUAAACCACAAAUAAUACAAAA
rnacentral:lncRNA from 1 species